GAUUUCCGUCGAGUUUGUGGGCAACGCUGAUGCGUCUGACCAUCACCACAAAACAAUUCUGAUCUCUUCCCAAGAAGAUUCCAUGGAGUGGACAGCAUAUGGUGAACAAGGUUACUACAGCAACGUGGGCUCAUCUGGAUCCUCCACUGGCAAUGAUGGUGAAAUCCCAAUGGAGAUAGACUAACAUGAUUAUGAAAACAACAGUGUCAAGGAAAUGGAUGAAGAUUUGCUGAAAACUCUGCUGCAUUCCACAUGAACCUGCACACCCCAACCGUAAUGCAGCUGGACGACUUAUAGCUUUAGCUUUCUUAUAGCAAAGGCAAACGGAAUAAUGACGCAAACAUUUCAAGACAACACAUACUUUUUACAAGCACAAUUUAGACUGAACUAAAGAAUUUACACUGGAAAAAUGAUGCUAA